rnacentral:rRNA from 1 species
UACGUAGGGUGCGAGCGUUAAUCGGAAUUACUGGGCGUAAAGCGUGCGCAGGCGGUUCGUUGUGUCGGCGGUGAAAGCCCCGGGCUCAACCUGGGAAUGGCCGUUGAAACUGGCGAACUGGAGUGUGGCAGAGGGGGGUGGAAUUCCGCGUGUAGCAGUGAAAUGCGUAGAGAUGCGGAGGAACACCAGUGGCGAAGGCGGUGCUCUGGGCCGGAACUGACGCUGAGGAGCGAAAGCGUGGGGAGCAAACAGG